CACGUAGGGCGCAAGCGUUGUCCGGAAUUAUUGGGCGUAAAGAGCUCGUAGGCGGUCACGCACGUCCGUUGUGAAAUCGCUCGGCUCAACUGGGCGGGGUCAGCGGAUACGGCGUGGCUGGAGCAAGCUAGGGGGCAAUGGAAUUCCCGGUGUAGUGGUGGAAUGCGUAGAUAUCGGGAGGAACACCAGUGGCGAAGGCGGUUGCCUGGAGCUUUGCUGACGCUGAUGCGCGAAAGCGUGGGGAGCGAGCCGG
rnacentral:rRNA from 1 species